CUACGUGCCAGCAGCCGCGGUAAUACGUAGGUGGCGAGCGUUGUCCGGAAUCAUUGGGCGUAAAGGGUGCGUAGGUGGUCCUUCAAGUCGGUGGUUAAAGGCUACGGCUCAACCGUAGUAAGCCGCCGAAACUGGAGGACUUGAGUGCAGGAGAGGAAAGUGGAAUUCCCAGUGUAGCGGUGAAAUGCGUAGAUAUUGGGAGGAACACCAGUAGCGAAGGCGGCUUUCUGGACUGCAACUGACACUGAGGCACGAAAGCGUGGGUAGCAAACAGGAUUAGAUACCCUGGUAGUCCACGCUGUAAACGAUGAGUACUAGGUGUCGGGGGUUACCCCCCUCGGUGCCGCAGCUAACGCAUUAAGUACUCCGCCUGGGGAGUACGCACGCAAGUGUGAAACUCAAAGGAAUUGACGGGGACCCGCACAAGUAGCGGAGCAUGUGGUUUAAUUCGAAGCAACGCGAAGAACCUUACCUAAGCUUGACA
rnacentral:rRNA from 1 species